UACAGAGGUCUCAAGCGUUGUUCGGAUUUAUUGGGCGUAAAGGGUGCGUAGGCGGCGCGGUAAGUCGGGUGUGAAAUCUCGGAGCUUAACUCCGAAACUGCAUUCGAUACUGCCGUGCUUGAGGACUGGAGAGGAGACUGGAAUUUACGGUGUAGCGGUGAAAUGCGUAGAUAUCGUAAGGAAGACCAGUGGCGAAGGCGGGUCUCUGGACAGUGCCUGACGCUGAGGCACGAAGGUCAGGGGAGCAAACGGG
rnacentral:rRNA from 1 species